GACGAACGCUGGCGGCGUGCUUAACACAUGCAAGUCGAACGGUAAGGCCCUUCGGGGUACACGAGUGGCGAACGGGUGAGUAACACGUGGGUGAUCUGCCCUGCACUUCGGGAUAAGCCUGGGAAACUGGGUCUAAUACCGGAUAGGACCACUGCCUGCAUGGGUGGUGGUGGAAAGCUUUUGCGGUGUGGGAUGGGCCCGCGGCCUAUCAGCUUGUUGGUGGGGUGAUGGCCUACCAAGGCGACGACGGGUAGCCGGCCUGAGAGGGUGACCAGCAACACGGGGAAUGGGAUACGGCCCAGACUCCUACGGGAGGCAGCAGUGGGGAAUAUUGCACAAUGGGCGCAAGCCUGAUGCAGCGACGCCGCGUGAGGGAUGACGGCCUUCGGGUUGUAAACCUCUUUCAGCACCGACGAAGCGCAAGUGACGGUAGGUGCAGAAGAAGGACCGGCCAACUACGUGCCAGCCGCCGCCGUAA
rnacentral:rRNA from 1 species